AUUGAACGCUGGCGGCAGGCCUAACACAUGCAAGUCGAGCGGAUGAAGGGAGCUGGCUCCUGGAGUCAGCGGCGGACGGGUGAGUAAUGCCUAGGAAUCUGCCUGGUAGUGGGGGAUAACUUCGGGAAACGGGCGCUAAUACCGCAUACGUCCUGAGGGAGAAAGUGGGGGAUCUUCGGACCUCACGCUAUCAGAUGAGCCUAGGGCGGAUUAGCUAGUUGGUGGGGUAAAGGCCUACCAAGGCGACGAUCCGUAACUGGUCUGAGAGGAUGAUCAGUCACACUGGAACUGAGACACGGUCCAGACUCCUACGGGAGGCAGCAGUGGGGAAUAUUGGACAAUGGGCGAAAGCCUGAUCCAGCCAUGCCGCGUGUGUGAAGAAGGUCUUCGGAUUGUAAAGCACUUUAAGUUGGGAGGAAGGGCAGUAAGUUAAUACAUUGCUGUUUUGACGUUACCAACAGAAUAAGCACCGGCUAACUUCGUG
rnacentral:rRNA from 1 species